rnacentral:rRNA from 1 species
CCUACGGGGGGCUGCAGUGGGGAAUAUUGGACAAUGGGGGGAACCCUGAUCCAGCCAUGCCGCGUGUGUGAAGAAGGCCCUCGGGGUGUAAAGCACUUUCAGUGAGGAAGAACGCCUGGUGGUUAAUACCCAUCAGGAAUGACAUCACUCACAGAAGAAGCACCGGCUAACUCCGUGCCAGCAGCCGCGGUAAUACGGAGGGUGCGAGCGUUAAUCGGAAUUACUGGGCGUAAAGCGCGCGUAGGUGGCUUGAUAAGCCGGUUGUGAAAGCCCCGGGCUCAACCUGGGAACGGCAUCCGGAACUGUCAAGCUAGAGUGCAGGAGAGGAAGGUAGAAUUCCCGGUGUAGCGGUGAAAUGCGUAGAGAUCGGGAGGAAUACCAGUGGCGAAGGCGGCCUUCUGGACUGACACUGACACUGAGGUGCGAAAGCGUGGGUAGCAAACAGGAUUAGAUACCCGAGUAGUC